UGGGGAAUAUUGCACAAUGGGCGCAAGCCUGAUGCAGCCAUGCCGCGUGUAUGAAGAAGGCCUUAGGGUUGUAAAGUACUUUCAGUUGGGAGGAAGGCGUUGAUGCUAAUAUCAUCAGCGAUUGACGUUACCAACAGAAGAAGCACCGGCUAACUCCGUGCCAGCAGCCGCGGUAAUACGGAGGGUGCAAGCGUUAAUCGGAAUUACUGGGCGUAAAGCGCACGCAGGCGGUUGAUUAAGUUAGAUGUGAAAUCCCCGGGCUUAACCUGGGAAUGGCAUCUAAGACUGGUCAGCUAGAGUCUUGUAGAGGGGGGUAGAAUUCCAUGUGUAGCGGUGAAAUGCGUAGAGAUGUGGAGGAAUACCGGUGGCGAAGGCGGCCCCCUGGACAAAGACUGACGCUCAGGUGCGAAAGCGUGGGGAGCAAACA
rnacentral:rRNA from 1 species